AGCAGCCGCGGUAAUUCCAGCUCCAAUAGCGUAUAUUAAAGUUGUUGCAGUUAAAAGCUCGUAGUUGAAUUUCGGGGUUAGUAGGUUGGUCAUGCCUCUGGUAUGCACUGGCCUCACUGAUUCCUCCUUCCUGAUGAGCCGUAAUGCCAUUAAUUUGGUGUUGCGGGGAAUUUGGACUGUUACUUUGAAAAAAUUAGAGUGUUUAGAGCAGGCUCACGCUUGAAUACAUUAGCAUGGAAUAAUGAAAUAGGACGUUUGACCCUAUUUUGUUGGUUUCUAGGAUCGACGUAAUGAUUAAUAGGGAUAGUUGGGGGCAUUAGUAUUCAAUUGUCAGAGGUGAAAUUCUUGGAUUUAUUGAAGACUAACUACUGCGAAAGCAUUUGCCAAGGAUGUUUUCAUUAAUCAAGAACGAAAGUUAGGGGAUCGAAGACGAUCAGAUACCGUCGUAGUCUUAACCAUAAACUAUGCCGACUAGGGAUCGGAUGAUGUUAAUUUUUUAAUGACUCAUUCGGCGCCUUAC
rnacentral:rRNA from 1 species